AAAAAAAAAAGGAACAACAACAACAAAACAGGUGCCUUUUCUCCUUUGUUGCUCCAGGCCUUCUGGAAAUGCUUCCCAUUGACUCCCUGAGACGACAGAAGCACCACAUCUAGAAGCCUCCUCCCACAGUGGAGGUGCUGACGCAGCAGGGGAACAGGAGUCUUGUCUGCUGGACUGGGUCUGCAUGCUGUGAAAAGGAGCUGGGGGGUUUGGGACCCUUGCGGGGGUGAGAACCUGGGGAAAUGAGUGGAAGGUUUCAGACCUUGGCUAGCGAACCGAAGGAGGUUGAACGUAACAAUGAUGCUGUCUGCUCCAACUCUUGGGCCUUUUCCUGGGUGAAGACUGAAUGGACAUCUCUUUUCUCUAGCUUAGUGGUUGGAACCUUCCCACUGACAUGAAGAGGACCCGGCUGAGGGCGAAGUCACUCACCGCCGAGCCACGGCAAGGCCACAAAUGGAGCUGCUGGUGACAGGCCUGGGAAAGCUGCAUCCCGCCAGGGGCCAGCCCCUGCCAUCUGCGUCUGCUGAGUUUUAUGAAUGUCCCAGACUGACUUUUCUCUGGUGGUGGGUCAC
rnacentral:lncRNA from 1 species